rnacentral:rRNA from 1 species
CUUUUCUUGUUAGUUUUUGAAGUAUGGCCUGCCCACUGACUUGGAGUUGAAGGGCCGCGGUAUUUUGACCGUGCAAAGGUAGCAUAAUCAUUAGUUCUUUAAUUGUGAUCUGGUAUGAAUGGCUUGACGAGACAUAAGCUGUCUUGGGGGUAUUGGUUUAUUGAAUUUGGUUUUUGAGUUAAAAUUCUUAGAUGUUUUUAUGGGACGAGAAGACCCUAUAGAGUUUGACAAUUUUCUUAUUUAUUCAUUGUUUGUUUUAUUUACAUUGAGUGGGAAUAGAUUGUUUUGUUGGGGUGAUGGGAGGAAUAUUAUUUAACUCCUCUUUGUUUUUAUAUAUUUA